rnacentral:rRNA from 1 species
GUGGGGAAUUUUGGACAAUGGGGGCAACCCUGAUCCAGCCAUGCCGCGUGCGGGAAGAAGGCCUUCGGGUUGUAAACCGCUUUUGUCAGGGAAGAAAUCCUUUGGGUUAAUACCUCGGAGGGAUGACGGUACCUGAAGAAUAAGCACCGGCUAACUACGUGCCAGCAGCCGCGGUAAUACGUAGGGUGCGAGCGUUAAUCGGAAUUACUGGGCGUAAAGCGUGCGCAGGCGGUUUUGUAAGAUCGAUGUGAAAUCCCCGGGCUCAACCUGGGAACUGCAUUGGUGACUGCAAGGCUGGAGUGCGGCAGAGGGGGAUGGAAUUCCGCGUGUAGCAGUGAAAUGCGUAGAUAUGCGGAGGAACACCGAUGGCGAAGGCAAUCCCCUGGGCCUGCACUGACGCUCAUGCACGAAAGCGUGGGGAGCAAACAGGAUUAGAAACCUUUGUAGUCC